GCCGCCCCUGCCAGGCGGUAGCAAGGCCCGCGCCUCAGCCCGGCCCGCGCCAUGGCGGCCGCCAUGCUGCCCGCCCCGGCCGCCGUUACCCAGCGCCGCCGGGCCAGCGCCGGGUCAGCGUCUAACGGAGACGGUACCGGAACUUACAGCUGGGAGCAUUACUGAGUAAUUAAAGCACAAGGGUGGCAGCUUGGCUUCUGAAGUCCUGUCAUUGAGCUCCUGUGACAACACAUGUACUGUCUGCAAUGGUCACAUCUGAGAGCAGCUGACACUUCGUGGUCCCUGGGCCAAGUCAUUUUAACUGACUUGCAUCUAAUCACAGUUCAAGACCUUUUGGGUGCACAAGACACAUCACUACUGGGUAUUGGCAGAGACACAGGGUGGUAUGAGACCUGUUCCACCGAGGAAACAUCCACAGGCCUGUUUCCAGUUUUGCUACCUGAGACAGAGGGGAUGAGACCAGCAGCAGUCCCUGUGGCUGGGUAUGGACCACUCCCUCUUCUGCCAUUCAUCCUCUGCCCUGUGCUCCCUGAGCAGGCAUGCUGGUGCUUGCUGCUUUUGUGUGUUAGAGUGAGGUAAAGGGUAGAACUUGGUAUUGUGAGUGCCCUGUCCUAGACACUGAGCUGUAAGGGAGUUCACCCAAUGCCAUUUCACCAAAACUAGAGACAGAAGUAGGACCCACAUUAGUUUUGCUGCCUGCCACAUGGGGUCUUAUCGGCAAGAACUAGGAAGGAUACUGCACCCUGAUCUGCCCCAGCCUUGUCAGUAAAAGAGGAUAAUUCAUAAACUGGUUACCUUGGCAGAGUUCAAGAUGACGGCGCCUUUUGGCACUUGGAUACAUUCCACCAGACACAAGGCAGGAACUUCUGCUGUCUUCUGCUGUUUAAAACACUGGUGGCCUGAGGGGAUCCCUCAUCAUUAUGGUCAAUUCAGCCUGACCCCUAACCUGUCCAGGAACUUUAACCAGGCUUCAAACUUUUGCAGGGUUGAGUGUGCUGCCAGGCAUCUGAGCAAAACAUUACAGAUUGCUGGCAGUGCUACAGCAUCCCAGGCACCCUUGCAGCCUCCAAGGCUCUUGUAACAGCUCAUGAAAGGGCUCAGAGAAAAUUUUCUGUGCAGAACAGGCACUCCGGGGGUGUUGCAGGUCGGGCAGCGUGCCAGUCACAGGGGAUGAGACAAUGCUUUGGGAAGUUCACCUGUAACAAAUGGCUGACAGCAACAUGUCCAAAACUUAUAGAACUACAAGGACACCAACACGGAUUCAUUCCAACUUGACUUUUGCUCUCUGCCUCCCAGUGGCAGCCUCCUUCCCUGCUCAUGGUAUGAAACUAGCCUCUUCUCCUCUGUCCUUCCUUCAUCCCAGCUUCUCAUGGCCUGUGCCAGGCAGUCCCAGUGAAAGCAGGCCGUGCAGUCAGCUGCUUAGCAAGAGAGUGCCCCAAACCCUGAAAGCUUCUUUUUGAAAAAAGUUUCUUUUUGAAACCCAUUGUGCAGGGGUGCAGGGCUGCCAACCCCACUGAAGUAUCCUUAAAUGAUCUGACAGUUUUAUACAGCGCAGACCAUAGGGAACAAUUGUAGGGACAGGACUGAAGAAUACAGAGUAGAGACACCCACACAGACUCCUGAGACACUGUUCAAUUUAUACUCAUUUAAAAAUGAUUGUUGGGAAGAUACAGGGUUUCCUAGGAUUGGUCCCUGAGGUGAGUAAGGGAUGCUGAUAUACAAGAGAUGCUCUUGACAGCCAGCUCUGCCAAGAUGAUAGCACCUAGAGCCAUGCACAGAAACAGGAUCUUGGGUGUCUAAGUAUCUUUUUCCUGACAAAAUAUUGGGCACUUACAGGUCCUCAGAUCAGCAAGCAGGGCCUGCAUGCCCAAACUGCUUUCUGCUGCAUCUUUAGGCAGCCAUAUCCCCUCGGAAACUCAGCAUGGUUCCUCAGAGGUCACACAGAGUGCUUCUGCCCUGUCACAUCGGUCUGCCCCAUCUCACAUCGGGAUCCUACUCUUCCAGCUGUCCACAUAAGCAUUCAUGUUUGCACUUUUUCUCCUUACAUACCAAAAGGAAGCCCAGGCAUGGGGUAGAGAAUAGCUCUAGCUGGCUCUGCUUUGAGCACAGGGGGUGGACCAGACAAUCUCCAGAGGCACCUCCCAGACUGACAGAACCCACUGAUGCUGUCAUUCUGUAACUGAAAAAUAUAAAUGGUAGUACCAGUCCUCACUGGAUCAACAGAAAGCACUUGAGUAUCCUUGGGAAGAGUAUGUACAAAGUAGUAGGAAAUUGAAAGUACUGAAGAAAUGUGCAGAGUAAACAAGGAAGCUUGACAUUUCGGUUCUGGACACCAAACUCAAGUAACUUCUCAAGUGCUUCAGGGAAGUGUAUAGUUAGUAAAAUAUCCAUGUAGUCAGGCAAUAAUGCCAGAUUUAUUUUCAAGGGUGUUUUUUUCCACGAGAGGAAUCUGCAAAGCAGAGCCAUCACAGGUAGGGAAACUUCACAUUGUUCAGCAGUUAUCAUCCUUGUUGGUUUACAGAUGACGUUCUUACUCCUAGAAGAGAAUCCCUCCCAGCUCUGUUUGGCCAAAGUGAUUUGUCAGAUCCUGGGGGUCUAGGAGAGGGGACACACUUGGGCAGGAACUGGGAGGAUCUUCUGUAGAGGAUUUCAGGUCACAAACAUGCAUAGGAAUUUUGAUACUGAAUCUGCGGUGGUAGGUAGAAACAUUCUCCCCCAGACUGAUAAGUGGCCCUUAUCAGUCAAACAACCAGCAAAGUACAGAAGUUGCUGGAAAAAUUAGAUGCCUAGUUGCUGCCCUCCUUUUCACUUCCCCACAUUUUUCUGGUGGUGUGGGAUCUCAAAGCAUUUCUAAAACACCUUUUAAAAACCGUUUUCAAAUCCACAAACAGUCCAGAGUUCAGUUCUGAGCAUUAUAAAUGGUUGUGCUAAUUAAAUGCAGCUAAAAUAGUGAAAAGAGUUGCAGAGCAGACGAGAUCAAUGACAAAACACCCUUAGAGAGCACAGAAGGGGAAAAAGUGCUGAUGCAGAAAGGUGAUUUAUGACAACUCUGUGGUUGCUGAAACAGAAGAAUUAUUGAGAACCUUGAGGAGAAAGGAGCUUUAGGUUGGAAGAUUGACGACUAAAAACCAUGGAGAAGUAAUCCUUUCUGCAUCAGUAUAGCAAAGCUUCAGUUCUGGGAGGCAGGUCAAUGUAGGUCAAUGCUUGCACUGGAAAUGCUAAGCUGGGGAACCUCUCUAGUUGCUUCCUUCCCCCCCAUUGCCUCCUCCCCACCCCCUCUUUGACAAAGGGAAGCCAGUGCAUUUCGGUGUUGCAAUUUCACAUACUGAGCAUUCAGCUCCACGGUCUAAUUCUGAACCAAAGACUCCAGCACUAGGCAGCCUGGUGUGAGAUAAAAUAGGUUGCUCUGAGUACAGUGAUCCUUAUUUUACCAUAGAGUUAGCAAGUUAUUAGAUGUGGCUAGCACCGAGGUUUGGCGUCCGUGUGUGUAGGGGUCCUUUUCUCAUCUUUUACCCUGUAUAAGCCACUAUCGUCUUUUAACAUGAAAACAUUUCAAGGUUGGUCUGGUACGCAUAGACAACUGUGAGUUACUUUGUGGCCCUCCAGUAACUGCGUUAAAAAUGAAGCAAGGAUAAACUUUUCUUCGAAGUGCCAUUUUUACACUUUCCUAUAAUCUGAAAACAUUAUGUGAAAAUGCUUUCUCACUGUAUUCUACACAAUAAGCACUAUUCCAACCUGAUCUGUAAUUCCAUUGCAACACAGGAUGAGAAUUUGAAACUUUUAGAUUUCUUUUGGAUGAGUGGAUUUACAUAUUUGAACAACGAUACUGUGACAUUUAGACAGUUACAUUAUUUGAUGGCUAUCACAGGCUGUAAUUACGCCUAGUUGUCUCACUUUAAAGAUACAAUUUUCUUUGUUUCAGGAGGUUUCAGCCAGCAAUUAACUGCAAUUGGAUGGCAUUUCAAUAGACAGUCUCUAGCAAACUCCUAUGAUGAGUCACAACAUUGGCAGAUCAUGGCACAUGUGGUGGUGUAAUGUCAUGUAACAGCAAUCACAUUGUGUUGCUACAGAGUACAAGAAAAACCUGAAGUCAGCGCUGACUGGAACUGAAUAAUGGGAUUUCCAUUUCCAAGAUGAAGAAGCUAGUAAACAGCAUGAAUAAAUAAGCAAGUCUGAAAAAACAAAACACUCAUCUUUUGGAUGAUCAUGGAAAAUACAGAUGAAAAGGGAUCUCAAGAAGUCAUCUAUACCAUCCCACUCUCUACAGAUGGAUUAAUUUUAUCUCUGUCAUUCCUGACUAAGUUUUAUCUGAUCUCCUUUUAAUAAGAUUUACAAUCCCCAGGCAAUCUAGCUUAAUGCAUCACUAGCCUUAUUUUUAGAAAGUUUUUCCUAAUGUCUAACCAAAGUCUAUUUCUGCUGCAAUGGAAUGUCUUAUUAAUCUGCAAUAUCUUUAUUUUUUAAGACUGCUCUCAUAUUUCUGUCAAGUUUCUCUUCACUAGAGCCAGCACCCCCUAUUUCUCCAGUCUUCCCAUCUAAUCUGUUUUUUCUAGAGCUCUGAUCACACACAUUGCUCUCCUUUGUAGCCUGGUGAGUGUUUUAUCUCCCCCAAGCAUGGUGCCCCAAGCCAGGCUCACUGAGCUCCAGAUGAGCUUUGCCAAUACUGAGAAAAGUGGAAGAAUUACUUCACUUACUUUAUAGCCUCUAUUUAUAUUUGUACCUCUGAGUAUGUAGUCUGCUUUUUUUGAAAGAAUAUGCAACUUCCAGAAUAUUUCUGCAGGGCUGCUCCCUACUCAUUUGCUCUUCAGUCUGUGUUUUUGCAGUGGAUUAUUCUUGACCAGACGUAAAAUCUUGGAUUUCCUAUUCUUAAAUAGCAUCUUCAUUUUCUUCACUAACAAUCCCAGCUAUGUAGUCAACUAAUGUGACAUUGCUCAGUUGAAUAUUAAGCUUAUAUUUUUUCCAACUUACUUUCAAAUUUUUUUAAGCUUUAUCAUGCUGGUUUGUGUCUGGGCUCUAUAAACCUUCAGCUUUGCUCUAGUUAUAGUUCCAGAGCCCAGGUACAAUAUGUUCAUGUGCAGCCUGCACGUGGCCCCUUCCCUUAUCCUAUUCCAGGUACAGUGGUAUGAUUAUAGCUGUUUGACCUGUUGCACCAUUGGGAGCUCAGCUUGUCCUGAUAAUAGCACAGUUAUGUUUACUGUCCUUGCAGCUCUGGCAAUUACAUCUCAUUACACCACCUUAAUUAUUCAAACACUGACAUUUGAGUGUUAAUAUGUCUAAAAUUCAGGCACAGAGAAAAAGAGUUCUUUCAACUUCAGCAUCUUUUAUUUAGCUCUCCUCUUGAACUGCCUGUUUUCUCACAACACAUUCCUCAUUCUGUCACAACCAGUCAUGUUGUUUUUCCAAAAACCCUGGAAGACACUCUAAGGCCUUGCUUCUGCCAGGAAUUUUGUUAUAUAAAAAAAUUUCUAAUACUUGACCACUUUCACCGCAGCAGGAUGAAAGAUGUAUCUUUAAAAUACAUCAGGUAGCGUGUUUUGAAGAACUGGCACAGGUGAGGCGAAUGACUCUUAGCCCCUCAGCUCCUGGGUUUGAGCCUUGGGGGAUACCAGGUGCUUUGAGACUGAGGGCAUCACUGUCAAGUUGUUGCAUUCUGUCACACUGUCACUCAUAGCCAAGAAAGCACCGUUUUGUUGUGUGUGUUUAGGAAUUGAAGCAUACUAACUUUCUCUAGGUUUUGGACCUCACAGCAGCUGGAAGAACACCCCAGGAGCAGCUCUACUUCACCUUACCCAAGAACCUUUCCACAACAAUACGACUGUUUGAAAAGUUCUUAGCCUAUAGUAAAAAGGGUUAAGUGCACACAACUCUCUUGCAUCAUCCUGGUGGAGUACCUGACUACCUGACCACAUCCUCCACAUCCUAGUAUGAGGAACUUAGGCAGAGUUACAAGGAACUUAUGUGGCGUUACAUAGUCUGCCCAAAGCCAUGCAACAACUUAACGACUGAAUCUGGAACUACAGGUCUCUUGCUGUGAUGACAGGACAAGACAAUCUUGCUGGCAAGUUUUACUGAAAUCUUUGCUGUCGUCUGGGGAGUUACGUUGUUAUGCAGGGAAGGUAAACCUUGCUGUGAACACUAACUUUUCCAGACUGGAAGGGCAUGUGGCAGUAUGUCUCUUGCCUGGAGGCUUAUUAGAACAUAUCUUGCAGAGGCUGAAACCUCAUUUAUUUGUUAUUGUGCGGAGCCAGUUUUAAAAUGCUAUCUGAAAAGAGCUCUUCAGAUGACUGUAAUACCAGAUUCUGAGUUGCAGCGAUUCAGUAUGCAAUGAUGACGCUUGCACCUGGCUUCUAUGAAAUGCUUAUCCCAACAGGCAAGACCUCCCACAUUAUUUAUUCAUUCAGCAGAGCUCAGCUGGCACAGAAUGCUGGCAUUCAUCCUGCCUGACCUAAGCAAGAAAGGGAACCCGUCAAUAAGUGCUUGGGAUCGCCAGUCAAUUCCUCCAUGUGUGAACUAUAUAUACAUACAUAUAUACUGUAAUAGUACUGUAUAAGUAAUUAUGAAAUACACACACACAUAUAUAUUUGUAUAUAUACUAUGCUAAAAUUAAGUUUUAACAUGCAAGCUAAGGAUGCGGUGAAGUAUUGAUUGGCUUUGUUACCAAUGCAGUGCCUGAGACCUGAGAGCAGGAAAGGUCACAUCUUUUUUACCCACCAUCAUCACCUCAGGCUCCAUGGUGACAGACAUUAUUUGAUCUUCUCUCAGAAGUACUUGGCUUUUUUUUUUUAAUCGAUUGGGGCCAAUCUGAGAAACACUGGGCUCAGUAUUUGCAAGAAACAUCCGUGGCUGAAAAGAAUAACAAUGCAGAAUCAUGGUUCGUGGCUUUGUACCCUGCAAAGACUAAGAGAUCUUUCAAAAAUAAUGGUAAUUUGCAAUCAGUUGGAGUGUUACAGUUGAAAUCCAAGCACAUCCAACCAUAUGAUGUGAUUCAUAUUACUUGGUGCUAAACUAAUGUUGCUAAUUCUUUUGUAACUCGUCACAACAGAACAAAGAUAGUGCUCACUAUUUUAGGAAGUAUAUGAAUCAGUAGGAGAGCUAAAAGGAAACAAAUGCAUCGCCGGUGAGACUAAAAAUGCCUCAGAGAUGUGAACAAUGUGUGUCUGCUGACUCUGCGGUUGUGCAGAAAAAUUCAAGGAAGGGUUUUAAGCAUGGCUAGCCACACAACAAAACAUGCUUUGGGCUGGCAAUUUAAGGAGGAAGCUGUCUUGCGCGCCGUCUGUCAUUCCCACAUGAUUUAAAACGCAGAUAUGCUACAGACAGAGAAACCUACUUAUCCUCUCACUAAAUAUUAACUGACAAUCAUUAUGAAGAUGAAUCUAGCAUAGGAAAAUAAAUUAUGGUACCAAAGUAAGUUCCUCUUAAAGUCAAGCUAUUGUAGUUGAUCAAGCAGACUUGCCUAUACAUUGAGCACGGGAUGCCCAUCAUCCUAACAUCACCACUGAAAUAAAGAACAAAAAACUAUGAAGGGUUAAUAACCAUGGUAAUAACCCAUCAAACAUCUGAAGCAUGUAGGAAUUUCAUAAACGUAACAAAUGAACAAAUGCAUGUUCAUUGCCACCGUCAAAAAUUCACAGGUCAUCUCUCCUUUAAUGUGACCGUCUUAGGCAGGAGGUGUGCUUCUGGAAAGCCUCUUUAAUCACAGGGCAAAGAAGAAAACAGCAGAAGAGCAUGGUUCCUGGUUGUACACAGAGGUACAAUAGGGUCUUUUAUUACCAAGUGCUGAAGGAGAGGACAGGUUCAGGCAAGAGUAGUGAAAAUAUGCUGGACUUUUUCUAGUACAAGAGGCAAAUAUGAAAGAGGACAGACAAUCCCAAUGGAAAAUGUUUGAUGUAUGCCUCUGGGCUCAGGAGAAAAACGGUUCACAUAAUGACACAAGAAGAGGCAUCUGCCUUUGGCUCCCUGCUAACUGGCACUGCAGUACAGCACUACCUGCGGAGUCGCCCGACACACUCCAGUCUGACCUAAGGUUUCAAAUGCUGAUGAUGAACUUGCUCUAGAGGAAAAAAAAAAAAAAAAAAAAUGCGCAGAGUUAUUCAGACCAUGGAAAUCUAUACUGACUUCUAAGAGGAUUUUUAUUUUGACAGAGCGGAGGAAAAGAGCUCAAAGUGUCGCUAGGCUUACUGUUAUUUUUUUAAUCUGGCUAUGAUUUACAAUGGCUUGCUGCCAAUGGCUAUUUGAAUACCUGGUUUUGCUCUUGAACAAUAUGAAAAGCAGGAAUUACAGUUUCUAAGGAAAAAUAACUUUAUUCUGACGUGGACUCUUUGCUGAAGAGGACAACAGGUUUAAUGUUUUAAGAUAAUACUUCUUCAACAGAAAACUGAAUCCCUCAACUUUUUCGGUCUGGUUUGGAGGAUCAUAUCUGGUAAUUUCUGCUUCCUUGGAUCUCAUUCAGCCAAAUCAUGAGGCUCCUACUAAUGUCAAAACUAGAUUCUUGAAUUUGCUGAAUUCAUGCUCUAGAAAUACAGAAACAGGUUUCUAACACCUGUUUUGCAUAAAAGUCUGGAAAGGCCUGCUCUUACUCAAAACUUUAACUUGCUGUUUGGGAAAAUAGCAUUAGAAACUUGUGACUUACAGCAGGAACAAUCAAUCUGGUGUCCUUAAGCCAGCAUUGCAGAAACCUUUGCGCUAACUAAAGUCAGAGGAAGAAGAGCAGAAAAGGAAGUGCCUGUUUUUGUUGAGACUGCUGUUUAAAUCUAGACGUCCACUUCAAAAAAAGGGAUUGACAUUUGUGCAAGGACACAAAUGUCAGACUGUGCUUUUUUAAGCUUGGAUCUGUUCAGACUGCUCAUGCUUUGAACAACAGGUUUGAAGUGUUUGUACCUAAAUUUGGACAGAAAAGCUUGGACUCUUUUGAACAGGAGCUAGUAUCCUUUCCAUAAGGGGAAAAAAUAGUAUUUAAUUGUGGUUAAUCACAAACUUGAGAUAUUUUUAAAAUUAUAAACCCCAGCUAUUUCUGCAUAAUGCAUUCAGCUGGACAGACCAAGACCUGUCUGACAGCAGUGAUCUUGCAGAGUCAUGCAAAAUUGCACAGAAUCUCUUCCCACACAGCACAGGACUUUCUGCCACAGCCAGGUAUCUGGAAGCCAUGGAGCAGAAGGCAUUAGGCUUGGUCUUAACUAUGAUUAGGUUUAGGGCAUCGGUUUUUAACUGAACGUUAAACCGAAACUUUGGUUUUGGUGGCUGUGCUGCACUCACCUUAAACCAAUGACACACAUCGGCAAAGAUGAAUGGUGUGGAUGUUCCUGUACAGAUAUGCCAGGUUCAUGCUACGUGGGGUCAAUGGAUUUGUUCAUGCAGAUCACUCAGAAUGAUAUCAAAGUGCUUUGUUGCACAUUAUUUGGAAAGAAUUUUUAUUUGUCUGGAGGAUAUAUCUUCUCCAAGGUUUAGAGGGAGUUUAUUUUUCAGUCUGUGCAAGCUCUGGCGUCAUUCUCCCUUCCUGCUACUCAAUGAUUCUAAUGUGGAGAUAGAUCUGCAUUCUCACCUACCAUUUAAACAGGCACGUCUGUGGAGUAGGGCCUCUCCAAGAGGCACAACACAUGGCAGUGCUUUGUUAUAAGCUCAAUGUGCUCAUUGUAACUCACAGGUCUUGUGGUAAGAAGGUCAGUGUUUCUGUACUCCAUGGCUAGACAUACAUUGUGCCUGCUAAAUACUGCUGUAGUAUUUCAUCGCAGUGGGAACCUGGACAAUAGGUCAUGCCUUGCAUUAAUAUGUAGGAUCUUGACAAAUCAAUACAGUUCAAAUAACAGGGGACAGCUUCCCAGUCGUUUACUAUUCCUGUGACACAGGGCGCUCUGGACACACAGGGAAAUAUUUGCAGGCACAGCAAUGGCUGUGCCAUUAAGCUGCCACUGAGCACACAGAAAGUACGACAGACUCUCUGCUAAUUCCUACCAGUAAUUCAGAAUCAUGCAAGGGCAUGUAUUAUUGGAAACAUGAACGGUUCCCUUGCUCCAGAGAUCUCUUCAGGGUUUGGGUUUUUUUUUUCUGUAAUACAAAUAUAGAAGUCAAGUUCCACAAGGGAAGGCCAGUCAGCUUUUGUGUCCAGCAAGACCCGGACCAAAGUGACUGUAUUUCUUUUGCUGUCUGAGGGCCUGAUCUAACAACCAUUAGAAUCAAUAGAAAGGCUAAUUGAUUUGAAAGACUUUGGAUAAAGCAUCUAAGGCCACAACCUGCACCAUUGCAAUCACCAGAAAAUUUGUCGUUGACCUCAGUGAGUGCAGGAUGAAAUACCCAGGCUCUUGGUCAGCUGGUAUUUAAGUUGACACACAUAAUUUAUUUCAUUUUAAACCAUUCAUAUGCCUAAGUACUUGUCAGACUGGAACAAUAGCACACUGGUUGCCAGGCUGAGAAGUGGGGUAACUUUCAGAUCUGUCCCUCUCCUGCCAACAGCAAUGUGAUAUGGAGGGAAGAAUGAGCAAGUCUGUUGUUUCCACCAUUUUGUGACAAUAGGGAAUUAAGGAAUAAGGUAAGUGAAAUUGAUGGAAAAGAAAUUGAAAGCAACACCACAGAAAGAAGCGAGGUUCUAUCCCUUUAAUUACUUCUCAGAGGACUUUAAAAAAUAUGAACACUGGCCUUUUAACUUCAUUCAGAGUCUGUGUUUCAAAUACAACCCAAGCCUUCCUAGGGCUUGCCUACACUGGAAAAAUACAUUAUGUUAAUUGAUUAACACGUAAUGCUUAAUGUAAAAGUCAAUAUAAACAAAGACUACCAUGUUUAACAUUUGUUGUUGUUGUUGUUGACCCAAGGUAACCCAGCUGCUAAACAUGACAGUUCUUGUCUACACUAAGUGCUUUCUAUCACCUUAAUUAACAUGUUCUAACACAAUGUAAUUUUGCAAUACAGAUAAAACCUUUGGGGCAUUUAUUCUGUAAAUUUAAUUUUCUGUCUCGCCUAUCUUGAAUUCGCAGACACGCGCUGGUUCUGCUAUCUCCCCUCCCCCCUUCAGCCUUGCAGCCACUGUCACUGAAAAUCAAAGAGACUUUGUAGGGUUUUUUCAUGCAUUGUAUCAGCUUAUAAACCAAAAGUUCAAUCGAACAUACAAUCAGUUUAUACCCCUCGAUGGUGCCGAUAUAAAAAUAAAGUUGAUCUCAUAAUUCAGGAAGGGUUAGUUCAGUCUAGAAAAGUAUCAUCAAAUACCAGACAUCUGAAAUUUUUGCAAAAAAUGUUGCAAAUUGUACAGCUAGCAGUUUGUCAGUCAAAUCAGACAGCCUGCUCCCAGCCACAGGA